UUGGAGGGCAAGUCUGGUGCCAGCAGCCGCGGUAAUUCCAGCUCCAAUAGCGUAUAUUAAAGUUGUUGCAGUUAAAAAGCUCGUAGUUGAAUUUCGAGACCGGCUUACUGGUCGUGCUAUUGUGCGUACUGGUAUAAUCGGUUUCUCCUUUCUGACGAACUAUAAUGCCAUUAAUUUGGUGUUAUAGGGAAUCAGGACUGUUACUUUGAAAAAAUUAGAGUGUUUAAAGCAGGCUCACGCUUGAAUACAUUAGCAUGGAAUAACGGAAUAGGACGUUUGAUUCUAUUUUGUUGGUUUCUAGGAUCGACGUAAUGAUUAAUAGGGAUAGUUGGGGGCAUUAGUAUUCAAUUGUCAGAGGUGAAAUUCUUGGAUUUAUUGAAGACUAACUACUGCGAAAGCAUUUGCCAAGGAUGUUUUCAUUAAUCAAGAACGAAAGUUAGGGGAUCGAAGACGAUCAGAUACCGUCGUAGUCUUGACCAUAAACUAUGCCGACUAGGGAUCGGAUGAUGUUAAUUUUUUAAUGACUCAUUCGGCGCCUUACGGGAAAC
rnacentral:rRNA from 1 species